rnacentral:pre_miRNA from 1 species
CCAAGGCAGACUGGCGUGCCCCAGCCAUCUCUGGGUGAGUAUCUCUUUGAGAGGUUCACUCUCAAGCAUAAGU